AACCCCUCUGAAAAUUUCAUCACAUCAACGCAAUAUCAGGUCAAAUCAAAAGGCGUAGUGUAGUAAAUAAUUUGAUACGUACAGGAAUCUCAGAUUCUUGAAAUUUUGUAAACCAGAUGGUAAAGGCCCAGACAAACGAUUCGCGCAGAGCGAGCUGCGUGAACAUUCAAAGUUAACUCGCAAAACAUGAAUAUAAAUUUAUCCCAAAAAACUAUCAAGCCUAAAUUGGUUCACCCAAGUUAGAGAGAGAGAGAGCUGACAUAUAAGUAAGGUUUCGCAGUGAAGCCCACUCCAUUGGGAUUGAACCCGAAAGGUAAUUUCUACACAAGUCUCUGCAAAAAAAGAAGCAGAAACUUGCUAUAAAUUUUCUGGAUAUUCUCAAGCUUUAGGUUUUGUUUAAGGAUGCAACUAAUGGAUUUUUUUAUGUUGACAAUCUUUUAUUUAAUGAAAAUUAUAAUAUUAUACUAAAUAAUUAGGAGUGUCAAAAUGAGUUAUAUCUUAUGACGUGACUCAGGUGACUCAACUCGAUUUUUUAUGAGCAUGAUCUCUGUUUUUUUACUCGUUUAAUAAAUAAGCUUAAUGAUCGAGAUUAAAUUAAAUCACGAGAACGAGUUAUAUGAUCGAUCUUUAAUGAUCAUAAGCUAACUCAUGAGCUUGAUCGCUUUUAUAUUAAUAUAUAUACACAUAUAUAUGUAGAUGACUUCCAUAUUUAAUUAAAAUAUUUUACAUGUAUAUUAACUUAAAUGACAUUAUGCUAUGCAUAUAUGCAUAAUUUUAAUUUAAUAUUUAUAAUCAAAUAACUAUUAAUUAAAAUAAUUAGAUUUCGACCCGCACAACCGUGCGGGUGUUUAUUUUCAUUAUAUAUACAUAAAUAUUUUUUUACAUCAAUUAUGGUAUAUAUAUUUAUUUAACAAAUUAAUAUAUGCAUUACAAAACAUAUUAAAUAUUAUUUUUGUAUUAAAUUUAUAUUCAGUUUUGAUCCACUGACCUUUUUAUAUUUAUAUUUAAAAUAAAAAGAUAUCAUGCAUAAAUGAUUUGUAUUAUUAACUUUGAUGAAAUACAUGUUAAUUUAUAUACGUGUAUUAUAUAGUUUUCCAAUAUUAACACGUGUUACCUACAUAUUACAUUUCGAAUAUAAAUACUUACAAAAAAUAAAAUAUAUAAAUUUACCAAUUUAAUAUAAUUUAAUCAUAUUUAGCACAAUAUAAUAAUUAAUAAUUUCUCUUAGAAUGAUUGAUUAUGGUUAUAUAAUUGAUAAAAUGAUAAAAAAUUUAUUUUAAUAUUAUAAAAUAUUUAAAUGUAUAAUAUUAUUUCAUAACUAAUUUCGAAAUUAAUGAAAAUAUUUACAUAUAAUUUUUGAAAAUUAAGAUCUUGUUAAAAUCUUUUAAACAGACUUGUUAAAAUUUUUAAAAUAUAUAUUUAUAUUUAAAAUAAAAAGAUAUCAAAAGAUAUUGUGAUUAACGUAGUUUAAAGAUUCUAUAUAUUAUUAGUCUUAAUAAAAUAUAUUUAAUAAAAAAAUUAAAGGAUGGUCCAAAUUAUAAAACAAUACAUGGAAGAAUUCAUUACUUAUAUUUUAAUAGAUAAUAUAGACCAUAAUUAGAAAUUUUAAGAAAAUAGUAUACAAUUUUUUUUUAUAAUAAAAUCUUAACUAACAUUAAUUUAUAAUAAUAUUAGAGUACUAAUCACGAAAUUAAUCAAUGAUUCGUUUUAUAGUAAUAUUUAAAAUAUCUAAUAAGAUUUUGUAGAUUUUUUUCUCAACAUAUUUUUAUAAUUAAAAAAUAAGAAAAUUUUAUAGGUGAGUUGUUAUAUAUGUCAAUUAUUUAAGAUGUCUUAAUAAUGUCAUAAUGUUAAUUAGAAUUAAAUGAAAUAUAAUUUUUUACAGAAGGUCCAUUUUAAAAAAAUCACACAUGAAAAGAAGUUGGACUUCUGUUUUAAUAUAAUAGAUAGAUAAUCUCUAACUUACUCAUACUGUUCAAGUAAAUCUAUUUUUUAUGUUGACUGACCUAGUUAGUAACAAACUUAGUCAAACUAUAAUAUAAAUUCUUAACUUUUUAGUCAAAUUCUUCACAAGAUUGGAUAUAUACAAGUACACAAUAAACUGGAAUUUGUUAACUAGAACGAGUAGUUUGAGAUUUUUUUUACCUUUUGAUAUAUAUAUAUACACAAUAUAAAACGAUCAAAAAUUCUGGUUGUAGAAACUCUAUAAAUAAUUGUUUGAUAAAAUACGAAUAUAAUAAAUCAAUUAAUUUUAUCGGUUUUGAGUUAGACCGGUUCAAAAUAUGAUAUAGUUUGAUAAAAUAAUAAGUUUAUAAAUUUUACAAAAUGUUAUAUAAAUAUGCAAUCCUUUUAAAAUAAAAAAUUACUAUUUAGUACAUAUAAAUUUUAUUUAAAUAUGAAAAAUACAUUGUAUCAUUUUUAUCUUCAGAAGAAAAUUCAUCCAUAAUCUUAUUAACACUACAAAAUAUUUUGAUAUCAUUUAGCAAUUACAGCUAAAACUAAUUCAUAGUCAUUGGUAUACAUCAAACACCAAGCAUAUUAAAGUCAGAUUUAUAAAUUUUAAUUAAUAUUCUUUUAAUAUUAUUUUAAUAUAAAAAUAUUUCAAACUAUUUGACUCUGAAAAAUAAAAUAAAAAUUAAUAAAAUAUCAGAGUUUCAACUUUACGAUUUUUUAGAGUUUGCUUGUAUACUAUUCUUUAUAUUUUUAAAGAUUAAUAUUACAAAAUAUGUUUAAGGAAGAUAAAUUUUCAAACUUUCAUGUAAUUUAUUAGUUAGCAAUUUUAAAUUUCAAAUUUCAAAAAUUAAUUAAACUUAUUUAAUUAACGUAUUGAAAAUAUUUAAUGAAAUAAUAUAUUUAUAAUCAAAAUUUAAUAUAUUUUAAUAUUU